UCAAUUGCAGUUGUGAUUCGACAGCGAUUUUGCUUCUUUUUCUCUUCUUCCUUCUUCUUUUCUCUUCUUUCUUCUCAAUUCUGGACCUUUGGACCUUAGAACCCCUCUCUUAGCCCCUCUUCAUGCUUAUUUAUAGAAAAACAAGACAAUUGGGGUCAUGACAGCUCGCCUAGUGAUGCAAUCCUACCCCCCAAGGGUAUUGGAUAGAAGACCCCAAGAGGCUUGGGCUAGAGCUACUAAAGAAGGCCCUAGGGUUCUCAUGAACCUUAGGGUAGAUUUUUGAGCCCAUGAGUUAAGGUUGGAUCCACUCUUCUUUGUAAAUAUUAGAAUAGGUUUUUCCUUCGUUUGGGCCUUGUAUUUUGGCCAUUCUAGUAGUAUAGAGUUUUAGCCUUGUAUUUCGAGGCAUUUUGAGUAGUCUUUGUAGUAGAGAAUUUUUUUGUUUUUUUAUGUAUUUUGUCAUGGGGGUGAGCUUAGCUAUUAUAGGGGGUGUGUAGUUAAGCUCUAGCUUCUCAUCUCAAGGAGGUGAGCUUAGCUAUUAGAAAGGUGUGUGUAGCUAAGCUCUAGCUUCUUUAGGAAUCUUCUCAAGGAAGCUUCUCAAGGAGGUGAGCUUAGAUAUGAGAGGGGUGUGUGUAGCUAAGCUCUAGCUUGCCAAGGAAGUUUUCUCAAAGAAGUUUCUCAAGGAAGUUUUCUCAAGAAAGCUUCUCAAGGAAGUUUUCUCAAGAAAGCUUCUCAAGGAAGCUACCUAGUCUAUAAAUAGAAGCAUGUGUAACACUUGUUGCAACUUUGAUGAAUGAGAGUCUUGUGAGACACAACUCAAAGUUCAACUUCUCUCUCUUUUUCUUCCUUCAAUUUCGUGCUCCCCCCUCUCUCUUUGUCUCUCUCAUUCUUUUCCUCCAUUGAAGCAUCCUCUCCGAGCUUCUUAUCCAAGGCUCAUCUUGGUGGUGAAGCUCCUUCUUCCAUGGCUUAUUCCCUAGUGG
rnacentral:lncRNA from 1 species